rnacentral:tRNA from 1 species
CGGUUUUCAAAGACCGGAGCUAUCAACCACUCAGCCAUCUCUCC